rnacentral:rRNA from 1 species
GUAGUCUGCAACUCGAGUACAUGAAGCUGGAAUCGCUAGUAAUCGCAAAUCAGAAUGUUGCGGUGAAUACGUUCCCGGGCCUUGUACACACCGCCCGUCACACCAUGGGAGUUGGAAGCACCCGAAGUCGGUGACCUAACCGCGAGGGAGGAGUCGCCGAAGGUGAAGCCAGUGACUGGGGUGAAGUCGUAACAAGGUAAC